AUUGAACGCUGGCGGCAUGCCUUACACAUGCAAGUCGAACGGUAACAGGUCUUCGGAUGCUGACGAGUGGCGAACGGGUGAGUAAUACAUCGGAACGUGCCCAGACGUGGGGGAUAACGAGGCGAAAGCUUUGCUAAUACCGCAUACGAUCUAAGGAUGAAAGCAGGGGACCGCAAGGCCGUGGGCGGUUGGAGCGGCCGAUGGCAGAUUAGGUAGUUGGUGGGAUAAAAGCUUACCAAGCCGACGAUCUGUAGCUGGUCUGAGAGGACGACCAGCCACACUGGGACUGAGACACGGCCCAGACUCCUACGGGAGGCAGCAGUGGGGAAUUUUGGACAAUGGGCGAAAGCCUGAUCCAGCAAUGCCGCGUGAAGGAUGAAGGCCUUCGGGUUGUAAACUGCUUUUGUACGGAACGAAAAGGCUCUGGCUAAUACCUGGGGCACAUGACGGUACCGUAAGAAUAAGCACCGGCUAACUACGUG
rnacentral:rRNA from 1 species